rnacentral:sRNA from 1 species
GGGUUACUCCUUGGCGCUUGCGCGCUGUUUUGAUGAAGAUUCGCACCUCUAUCAAAACGGGUAACCCCGCCUCUUGGCAAGGCCUUACUGUCAGAUCAAGUCUGAACUUCUACACAUUAGCGCACUCCCAAUGCUUCGAUCAUCGCUCGCACGAGGGCGGCAUCGUGCGCUGCGCAUUCGAGUCGCAGCGUCACGCCA